rnacentral:rRNA from 1 species
GAUGAACGCUGGCGGCGUGCCUAAUACAUGCAAGUCGAGCGAACAGACAAGGAGCUUGCUCCUUUGACGUUAGCGGCGGACGGGUGAGUAACACGUGGGUAACCUACCUAUAAGACUGGGAUAACUUCGGGAAACCGGAGCUAAUACYGGAUAAUAUUUCGAACCGCAUGGUUCGAUAGUGAAAGAUGGUUUUGCUAUCACUUAUAGAUGGACCCGCGCCGUAUUAGCUAGUUGGUAAGGUAACGGCUUACCAAGGCGACGAUACGUAGCCGACCUGAGAGGGUGAUCGGCCACACUGGAACUGAGACACGGUCCAGACUCCUACGGGAGGCAGCAGUAGGGAAUCUUCCGCAAUGGGCGAAAGCCUGACGGAGCAACGCCGCGUGAGUGAUGAAGGUCUUCGGAUCGUAAAACUCUGUUAUUAGGGAAGAACAUACGUGUAAGUAACUAUGCACGUCUUGACGGUACCUAAUCAGAAAGCCACGGCUAACUACGUGCCAGCAGCCGCGGUAAUACGUAGGUGGCAAGCGUUAUCCGGAAUUAUUGGGCGUAAAGCGCGCGUAGGCGGUUUUUUAAGUCUGAUGUGAAAGCCCACGGCUCAACCGUGGAGGGUCAUUGGAAACUGGAAAACUUGAGUGCAGAAGAGGAAAGUGGAAUUCCAUGUGUAGCGGUGAAAUGCGCAGAGAUAUGGAGGAACACCAGUGGCGAAGGCGACUUUCUGGUCUGUAACUGACGCUGAUGUGCGAAAGCGUGGGGAUCAAACAGGAUUAGAUACCCUGGUAGUCCACGCCGUAAACGAUGAGUGCUAAGUGUUAGGGGGUUUCCGCCCCUUAGUGCUGCAGCUAACGCAUUAAGCACUCCGCCUGGGGAGUACGACCGCAAGGUUGAAACUCAAAGGAAUUGACGGGGACCCGCACAAGCGGUGGAGCAUGUGGUUUAAUUCGAAGCAACGCGAAGAACCUUACCAAAUCUUGACAUCCUUUGACAACUCUAGAGAUAGAGCYUUCCCCUUCGGGGGACAAAGUGACAGGUGGUGCAUGGUUGUCGUCAGCUCGUGUCGUGAGAUGUUGGGUUAAGUCCCGCAACGAGCGCAACCCUUAAGCUUAGUUGCCAUCAUUAAGUUGGGCACUCUAAGUUGACUGCCGGUGACAAACCGGAGGAAGGUGGGGAUGACGUCAAAUCAUCAUGCCCCUUAUGAUUUGGGCUACACACGUGCUACAAUGGACAAUACAAAGGGCAGCGAAACCGCGAGGUCAAGCAAAUCCCAUAAAGUUGUUCUCAGUUCGGAUUGUAGUCUGCAACUCGACUACAUGAAGCUGGAAUCGCUAGUAAUCGUAGAUCAGCAUGCUACGGUGAAUACGUUCCCGGGUCUUGUACACACCGCCCGUCACACCACGAGAGUUUGUAACACCCGAAGCCGGUGGAGUAACCAUUUGGAGCUAGCCGUCGAAGGUGGGACAAAUGAUUGGGGUGAAGUCGUAACAAGGUAGCCGUAUCGGAAGGUGCGGCUGGAUCACCUCCUUUCU